CUGUUAGAGCUGGGGAACACAAAUAACCCCAAGAUAUGACCCAACUGGGAAAUGAGGCACCAGAGUCAGCAGGUCUCAGGACUCGAGAACAUGUCAUAGAUCUGGGGCCAAGGGGACUUCCCAAUACCCCAGUCCUGAAUUAGCCAGAUGUGCCUUUCAGUCCUUGGCUGAGCUGGACUGAGGCCUCCUCCAAAGGGAGAAAUAAAUGUGCAUCCUGAAGAGAGCUGACUCUGAAAGAGAGAGAAACCCACAGAGGCUGAGUUUCACCAGCACAACUACUUCCAAGCACAUUCCUCAGACUCCAUCCUAGACACAGCAUACCAGAGUCUCCAAAGGGCUAAGCUCAAGAAUCUAUUCUGAAGCUCCCAACAGGAGUCUUAUAUAGCCAGGCAGGCAAUGAUCAUAUUUGGGGACCAUUAGAAAUAAUCGAAUGCAUAUACUCUGAACUUCAAAUUUUUAAUAUUCUCGUUUUCUGCUCAGUAAGCUCAAUUUCAAUGCAGUUCACAGUUUCUCAUAUCCACCAUGGCAUUCUGCCAAGGAACUACAACUUGUAUUCUCUAAACCCAACUGUUCUAAGAAUGCUGGGCUGCUUAUCAACUUCUAAUGUACCUUGCUUAAACUUUCCUCUCUCGAUGUGUCCCUGACUGAACUGCAGAAGACAGAACAACUGUACUAGCCAUCUCUUUCUGCAUAUCCCAUGUCUCCACAGAGGCCACGGUGUCUUCACAAAGCUAACUGCAACGAUUUUCGCAGGUGAUAUUUUCCCUUCAUGAUUUUCCAUUUUCUACUUGAGCAUUAAAAUAUCAGGAAGAAAAAGAAGAUAUAACCAUAUAGCAGUUGGUAAAAUAAGAUAUCUGCCCCAGCACAGCCCAUACUAAGUAUUCAGAAUUUACAGUUAUAUUAGAUAACUACAAAUUAGAUAACUAUUAACAUAGUUAUAUUAGAUAAGUAAUAUUUUCUCAUCUUCAAGAACUAAAAAAUUAACUUUUAAGUGAUAUUCAAAAAAGGAAGAUACUCACUCACAUCAACCCAAUUAAAACCACAUUUUCUAUAGCUGGAUGUAACAAUCUUAAUCCAAAUCAUUCACAAAAGUUGUUUAACAUUCUUUUUUUUUUAAAUUAUACUUUAAGUUUUAGGGUACAUGUGCACAAUGUGCAGGUUAGUUACAUAUGUAUACAUGUGCCAUGCUGGUGUGCUGCACCCAUUAACUCGUCAUUUAGCAUUAGGUAUAUCUCCUAAUGCUAUCCCUCCCUGCUCCCCCCACCCCACAACAGUCCCCAGAGUGUGAUGUUCCCCUUCCUGUGUCCAUGUGUUCUCAUUGUUCAAUUCCCAUCU
rnacentral:lncRNA from 10 species